rnacentral:rRNA from 1 species
UACGUAGGGGGCAAGCGUUGUCCGGAUUUAUUGGGCGUAAAGAGCGCGUAGGCGGCCUGAAAGGUCAGCUGUGAAAACUCGAGGCUCAACCUCGAGACGUCGGUUGAAACCAUCUGGCUAGAGUCCGGAAGAGGAGAGUGGAAUUCCCGGUGUAGCGGUGAAAUGCGCAGAUAUCGGGAAGAACACCCGUGGCGAAGGCGGCUCUCUGGGACGGUACUGACGCUGAGACGCGAAAGCGUGGGGAGCGAACAGG